rnacentral:rRNA from 1 species
CAUCCUCCAAGGCUAAAUACUCCUGACUGACCGAUAGUGAACCAGUACCGUGAGGGAAAGGCGAAAAGAACCCCGGCGAGGGGAGUGAAAAAGAACCUGAAACCGUGUACGUACAAGCAGUGGGAGCACAGGUUUACCUGUGUGACUGCGUACCUUUUGUAUAAUGGGUCAGCGACUUAUAUUCUGUAGCAAGGUUAACCGAAUAGGGGAGCCGGAGGGAAACCGAGUCUUAAUUGGGCGUUAAGUUGCAGGGUAUAGACCCGAAACCCGGUGAUCUAGCCAUGGGCAGGUUGAAGGUUGGGUAACACUAACUGGAGGACCGAACCGACUAAUGUUGAAAAAUUAGCGGAUGACCUGUGGCUGGGGGUGAAAGGCCAAUCAAACCGGGAGAUAGCUGGUUCUCCCCGAAAGCUAUUUAGGUAGCGCCUCGUGAAUUCAUCUCCGGGGGUAGAGCACUGUUUCGGCUAGGGGGCCAUCCCGGCUUACCAACCCGAUGCAAACUGCGAAUACCGGAGAAUGUUAUCACGGGAGACACACGGCGGGUGCUAACGUCCGUCGUGAAGAGGGAAACAACCCAGACCGCCAGCUAAGGUCCCAAAGUCAUGGUUAAGUGGGAAACGAUGUGGGAAGGCCCAGACAGCCAGGAUGUUGGCUUAGAAGCAGCCAUCAUUUAAAGAAAGCGUAAUAGCUCACUGGUCGAGUCGGCCUGCGCGGAAGAUGUAACGGGGCUAAACCAUGCACCGAAGCUGCGGCAGCGACACUGUGUGUUGUUGGGUAGGGGAGCGUUCUGUAAGCCUGUGAAGGUGUGUCGUGAGGCAUGCUGGAGGUAUCAGAAGUGCGAAUGCUGACAUAAGUAACGAUAAAGCGGGUGAAAAGCCCGCUCGCCGGAAGACCAAGGGUUCCUGUCCAACGUUAAUCGGGGCA